AAAAGGAUUAAUUUAAGCAUUAUACAUACAAAUUUCAAGCUGAACAUCUCUUAGUAAUUGUGACUCUAAGCCCAUGCUUCAUGUGCAACAUAAGACCAGGUUCUGGCUCAAUCUUCUGUCCUUUGAUAACAUCAAUAUCAUAGUUUUGUAAUAUCUCCACAACUACGGUCUUCAUUAGAGUCAUAGCUAAUUGCUUACCAGGACAAGUUCUCGGACCGGCGUUAAAUGAUAAAAACUUGAAGGAAGGUGCAUGUCUCAACCCACCGGACUCAGAAACCCAUCUCUCUGGCUUGAACUCUGU
rnacentral:lncRNA from 1 species